rnacentral:lncRNA from 1 species
GAUUAGGGCCAGCAGGGCACGUGGCUUGGGACCGUGUGGAGAGUGCGGGCGCUGGACAGCAGCUCCGGCCCCUCACCGACGCGCAGCCCGCGCCUGGGCCGACCUGUUGACUGAAAAUCAGCCGGCGCUUGGCCAGAUGCGUCGAUGGAGGCCCGCAGCCCAGCGACGACGUGGUAGUCAUGGCUGAAGCGGCGCCUGCCCCGCCAAAUGCAGAGAAGAGCUCAUACCUCUAUUCCAUAGAAAUCACACUGUGGACCGUGGUGCCUGCUGUUCAGGCCUUGGAGAAGAAAAGUGGAUUCUUGCCUGGCCCGCUUGCUGACUCUGGAGGGAUGCUCAGGGACAGCAGAGAAGAAGCUGGCUGACUGUGAGAAGACAGCUGUGGAGUUCAGCAGCCAGCUGGAGGGCAAGUUGGCCGUGCUGGGGACCCUGCCUCAGGAGUCUAGGCUGCUGCAUGAAGAACCUCAUGGGCAACUGGAACUUCUGGGUCCAGCGGCUUCCCCCUGGCAACAAGGGGGAGGUCCCCAAGAGUGGGCCAAGCUGGAGGACUGGCAGAAGAGGCUCGACAAGCAUGUGAUGGGGGCAGCUAUGAGAUGCUCGUUUCCCUGGGUAUUUCUCUGAGUCCAGAGCAGGCCCCAAGUCCAGCUAGCCCUGCCCAGGAGGAACUGAAUCAAAGGCAGACACCUGAGCAGCAGCAAGAGGAAGCAACCAUGAUUCCACCUGAGCCAGGCACUGGGAUUCCAGCAAGCACCAGCCCUUUAUCACUUAAACAGGAGGAAGAAUCUGCAGAGGGAGGAGAGUUGCCACCCUCCCCUUCCACAGAUAGCCUGCUUUCUGUGGAGCCAGGGAAGUCCAGCCCUGCAAGGGCCCAGCUCUGAACAGGACAGGACCUGCACUGUCUCAGGGCCUUUCCCUUGUGCCUGCCAAGUGGUGGAAGUUCCUUCACUUUCCAGCUGAGUUGGUACUUUAGGGGCCCUUCAAAAGCACAAGCUCCAGACCAGGAAUUUGAGGUGAUAGUGUCAUGCCUCAAAGUCAUGAGAGCGGGUGCUUCAUGUGCCUCUUUGUCACAGCACCUUGGGGACAGCCUUGUGGAGCUUCUGGAGCUGGGUGAUGGAUUCCAAUUCUGAUAGUUUGCUCUCUUGUUUGGCACUCAGACACCAGAGCACAUGAAGGCUCCCAGGUGCCUUCAUCCCUGGCUGUGCUAUUGCUAAAGUCCUGCAGACUCUGUAGCCACUCAGAAGUCCUGCACAGACGAGGCAGAGGGUGACACUGCCGUCAUUCCCAGGGUAGGGGUAUGACUGGCAAGACUGUGGCAUGCAGCCAUGGUUCUGGACGUUACUUGCCUGCACACCCAACCGUUGUUUAGGCCCUGCAAGCAAGACAGCAGUUGUCAGUAAGCGCUCAGACUGAACGUGGACAGUAUAGCUGCCCCAAACUUAAUCCUCCGCUGCAAGCACUCAUGUUGCUGUUCUGGGGGUUCCUAGGCCUCUCUUCUAAUGCUUUAGAUGUUCUCUGGAAAACAAGUAUUCAUAUUUGAAGCACAAAUCCAAGUGCUGGGGUGGGGGAAGAGGCGCUGUAUAAUCCUGGCUCGCCUUGGGCUUGCAGUGAAUUUUUUUCCCCUACCUCUAUCUACCUACUAGGAUUUCCUUGCUUGUGCCAUUAUGCACAACUGGGCUUACUGCAUUUAACCUGAAAUUCAAUAGGACAGGUUAAAGAGUAUUUUGAGUUAAGAAUGAACAAAGGCUGCAUGGUUGCCUGAGCUCAAAGACGUUGGAUCCCAGAUUCUGAUGACUUAUUUUGUAAAACAAAGAUAUGGUUGGGUUGGUUACAAGGCCCUAAGAACCAUGGAGGUGGAAAUAUUAACUUAAUCGGUGCUCUAUAAAUACACUGGAAAAUGUA